rnacentral:tRNA from 1 species
GUUGUAGCUCAGUGGUAGAGUGCUUGCCUAGCAUGUGUGAGCACUGGGUUCGAUCCUCAACGCCACA